CGAUAAUCGCGGGCGCUUCAACCGAACUCUGGGCAAUUCGCCCCAGCUGGCUACCGACCCUCCCUAGUAUUUAGGUGUUGCGUACCUUGCGGCGUUCCUAAACCCUGAGUUCCACGAACCCUUCAUGCCAUCACAACCAUCGCCAGUGGGGUGAAAUUGGGAGAGAGGGAGAAGAGGUCGCCGCCGCACCGAUUCCUUGGAUCACCGUCGUCUGGACUACCAGAAAGGUGCGAUUGGCUAGCGCGGUGGUGCGUAGAUUGUCUGUGAGCCAACCUCUUGGCGCGGGGUCAUCGGGACUCCACUAAAUUCGUCGCCGGAAUAUCCUACGCUACUACCCCGGGCGGGCGGAUGUGGACAACCCACCUGGACACCCAUAUGGCUGAUGAGUCGGCUACUGAGGAUCCAGGGGUUCAGCAGGUGGAGACUGCUGAGCAGGAGCUCGUUAAAGGCAAGUUAUGCCCUUAAUCACUUCUUUUUACCCAGUCAUGUUCUUAUUAAUCAUAAUGAUCUGUAUAGGUUAAUUUUGGUGGGACCCAAUAGGAUACCAUAGUUUUGGCUAUAUUUAUACCUUGUUUUACCACUGAAUUUUUUGGGUAGUACUUGGUAUUGCUUUAUGUGGUUUUGGGGAUGGAGAUAUACAUUAUUCAUUUUCACAUUUUUAUUAUCAGUGUAUUAAUUACUGUUCAUGAUAAGGUCAUUAUGUUAAUUGGAACAUGGAGAACCACGCGGGAAAACAAUGCUACCACAAGGGUGCUAUAGGACACCCUUGGCUGACUAAAUAGGAAAGCUAGUGGAGGACUACCUUACCCGAUAGGGGCAUCUUAACUUCCGUAUACAGAUAUUAUAACCAUGGUGGGCGUCAAUGUUGGUCACAUGCUUUUGAUUCUUGAAAGAUAUAAAAAACAAGGCAACACAAAUGAAAAGAUUCUCUCUUCACGCAUUUGUUAACUUUGAAAGAUUAACAAAUGAAAGGUGACAAAGGAUAAUAAUAAUAAUAGAUAAGGAAAUUCAAUCGAUAUUAACUCAUUCUUCGUUAUCCCAAAUUGUAUAUUACAAGAGUCAUUUACAUUUGUACCUUCGUUCUUACAAAACCAAAUAUGAAGGUAUGGACGAAAUAGCUUCGAAGUCUAAGCGAUAGGGUUAUCUCGUAGACGCAAAAAACACCCUUAUGUGUGGCACUGUACCCCUAUUUAUAGUGGCAAGUUACGACUUCUUAUGAAUUUAAAAAUAUGUUCACAAAUUCUAUACAUAUGAGCUACAAAUCUUGUGAGGUUAAUAUAUAUCAACUUUUCCUCUCUCGCGACGUGCCAAUCAACCUUCUAGAAUCUUCUCGUCUCCUUAUGUUUCGUGUGUUCACGCUUCAGAGACAAAGCUGAAGUCUUUUAGCUUCGUCGCUUCCUUAUAUGUUGGUGCAGACGAAGGUAGAGCCUGCUACCUGUAGAUGAUACUAGAAGCAUGUUUAACUAUUAGCAUAAUGUUUCGAGGACCUUCGGCAAUCGAGGCACCCAACAGGGUUUAUAAAGGUAUGGGUUCAAAAGAAGCUCUCAGCAUCUUUUUAUAUCUUGCUCGGUCAUUCGUCCUCCUUUAGUUAACAGGGUGGAACUAUAUAGGAGCGCGUGCGGCUUUGCGUUGUUUUGGUUUUAGAUAGUUUCUCACGGGCCAUCUAUAUAUAGGGUGGUAACGAUCAACUAAUAGAGGUUUGGAUGGCUUUGACAGCUUACCUCUUGGGUAACAGUCUAUUGGCAGGAAUAGACAACGCAGGAUGUUUGUCGAAACUAUUGUUUUAUAGUCGUUGGAUGUUUUGACAGCUUACCUCUUGGGUAACAGUCCAUUAGUAGGAAUAGACAGCGCAAGAUGUCUGUCGGAACUGUUGUUUUAUAGUUGUAAGAAAGAGAUAGACCCACUGUUCACUAUUUGUCACCUUAGCCCCUCCCCUCUCCCCCCAAAAAAACGUGCGAGUUGCUACCAGCCGUGUCAGCGAACCUACGAAUAACUGGUCUUUGCGACAAUAGUAGUGAAGAUGGAUGACAAGAAAUAGGGAAAGACCAUUGCUAAAUACAGGAGGUUUGUUUGCAAUUAACAAAUUUUAGUACGUGGUGAACUUUCUUUACGCCACUAGAACUGAGUGGGCACGUGGACAACUCGACAUCCUCUCCGUACACAGCACUGUGGAGAGGUCACGAAAGAUUGCAGGAGCUGUGAGCCGGCCGUUUUCUAAGAUGCGUACGCGUCAGAAGCUGCACCAGCACAGCCGGUUGAGGAGGACUCGAGAACUUGUUCCUUUUUUUUGUGUUCAGAAUAACGGAGUACCACGGAACGACAGGGGAUAACUUGUUCCUUUUUUUGUGUGUGUGAUCAGAAUCGUAUCUUUUGUUUCUCCCAGUAGUAAACGAUACGAAUUUUGAUUUUGGUGCGGCUUCGUUACGUUAUUACCGUACCCAUCAAACCAAAAGGAAAAAAAGAAGGGAGCUUAUUAUUUGUUGUAUUUUUAUUGAUGGUGAUCUCGAGCGGUCCAAUUGGUUCGGCAGGUCGCUCACUUUUGUCCGGUUGCGCCCGGCGCCACAUGCUCUCACAUCACAUGUGCUGCCCUGCAAAAGAGCGCUGCUUCUGCUCGUCCGUCGACUAGCGCACGGUUACUUGGAAGUUGGAACGCGCGCGACCAGGACCGUGAGCGCCUAGUCCCUCCCCACAGGUACGGCAUCGGACGCAGGACGCCAUCACACGCACCACAGUGCAACCGCUAGCUGUCGUCAGGCAUGGCGAUGAGGAGGCUCAUUGCUUAAUUUUUUGUCAAUUUCGGUUUAUUUUGCUAUAAUUGAUAUUAAUUACUUAGCAUUAGUAUCGGUUCCAAACAAAAAUCGAUACAAAGAGUGAGAUUUAGUACCGGUUUUGUGUAAGAAUUUACUAAUAUGUCCUAUAUAAUAUCUCACAUUCGAUUCUAGCCGUUCUCCGGAAAUCAUUCAAUCUCUCCUUUAAAUCUUUAGACCUGCGCCGCACGUGCGCCACCGGUACAGGUUGACUAAUGUUUCCUAUUUAUUAAUAGGAUAUGGUUUCAUUCGAUACAAAUAAGAUAAAUUUGUAUUUUGGGUAUGCUUAGAAAAAUAUUUAGUGAAAUAUUCAGUCGCCGUUAGGGAAAUGUUGGUUUAGGGUUUAUGGAUUAAGGGUUUAGUAGGGAAAUGUUUAGGUGCGGUUUAGGGAAAUGUUGGUUCAGGGUUCAGGAUUUAUGGAUUAAAGAUUUAGUAGGGAAAUGCUUAAGGUUUAUGGCUUAAUUUAACAGGAAAUAUUUCAUUUAUCUGGGAUAUGUGCCGCAUACACAAUGUUUAGUCAAAUGCUUGCUUUAUUUUAGAUAAGUUUCAACAAAAAAUGGUCAAUUUUCAUCUUUCAAUCACAUACAUACAAGUUUAAUCGUCUAAUCAGUAAAACUGAAACGCCAAGUGGAAUGUGUUUCUUUUGAUUCGUGCUCCACUACAGGUUCUGCGUCUCAAUGUCGAUCUACACCAAGACGAUGAACUUGGUCAUCUAACAUCGGCAUGCACACCUUCCCCCGAGCCACCGACCAUGUCACUCCUCACCAAUGACCGUGUGAGUCAUUACACAUUGGAAUCAAGUAACACCAAUAUUACAUCAAUUUUACUUGAGGUUUUUUUUUACUUUUAUGUUGUUUUAUGUUGACUUGAGUCGUUCGAUUAAAUCUACAAUCGGAAUCGUGUGGAAGCUCCUAUACAAGGUUUAAUGAUGCUUUUAUUUUUAUACAACAAUAUUACAUAGGUAUUUUGGAAAAAUUCCUAUAUGAUGCAAGUUUCUUUUCAUAUCUAUAUUGAAACAAUAGAACUCUAGAAAAAUAUCUAUAUUUGACUCAACAAUUACAAGUUUGUUUUU